GAUGAACGCUGGCGGUAUGCUUAACACAUGCAAGUCGAACGGACUCUUCGGAGUUAGUGGCGGACGGGUGAGUAACGCGUGAGAAUCUGGCUUUGGGUUCGGGACAACCACUGGAAACGGUGGCUAAUACCGGAUGUGCCGAGAGGUAAAAGAGAAAUUGCCUAAAGAUGAGCUCGCGUCUGAUUAGCUAGUUGGUGAGGUAAAGGCUCACCAAGGCAGCGAUCAGUAGCUGGUCUGAGAGGAUGACCAGCCACACUGGGACUGAGACACGGCCCAGACUCCUACGGGAGGCAGCAGUGGGGAAUUUUCCGCAAUGGGCGAAAGCCUGACGGAGCAAUACCGCGUGAGGGAAGAAGGCUCUUGGGUUGUAAACCUCUUUUCUUAGGGAAGAACAAAAUGACGGUACCUAAGGAAUCAGCAUCGGCUAACUCCGUG
rnacentral:rRNA from 1 species